rnacentral:rRNA from 1 species
UACGAAGGGAGCUAGCGUUACUCGGAAUCACUGGGCGUAAAGCGUAUGUAGGCGGAAUUACAAGUCAGAGGUGAAAUCCCAGGGCUCAACCCUGGAAUUGCCUUUGAAACUGUAAUUCUUGAGUAUGGUAGAGGAUAGUGGAAUUUCCAGUGUAGAGGUGAAAUUCGUAGAUAUUGGAAAGAACACCAGUGGCGAAGGCGGCUAUCUGGGCCAUUACUGACGCUGAGAUACGAAAGCGUGGGGAGCAAACGGG